GCACUGCUGACGAGUCCCAAACACGGCGAAACAGCUGUCCAGUGC
rnacentral:hammerhead_ribozyme from 1 species